rnacentral:rRNA from 1 species
UACGUAGGGUGCGAGCGUUGUCCGGAAUUAUUGGGCGUAAAGAGCUCGUAGGCGGUGUGUCGCGUCGGCCGUGAAAACCUGGGGCUUAACUCUGGGCGUGCGGUCGAUACGGGCAUCACUAGAGUUCGGCAGGGGAGACUGGAAUUCCUGGUGUAGCGGUGAAAUGCGCAGAUAUCAGGAGGAACACCUGCGGCGAAGGCGGGUUGCUGGGCUGACACUGACGCUGAGGCGCGAAAGCCAGGGGAGCGAACGGG